rnacentral:rRNA from 1 species
CGGACAGUGUCUGGUGGGUAGUUUGACUGGGGCGGUCUCCUCCUAAAGAGUAACGGAGGAGCACGAAGGUUGGCUAAUCCUGGUCGGACAUCAGGAGGUUAGUGCAAUGGCAUAAGCCAGCUUGACUGCGAGCGUGACGGCGCGAGCAGGUGCGAAAGCAGGUCAUAGUGAUCCGGUGGUUCUGAAUGGAAGGGCCAUCGCUCAACGGAUAAAAGGUACUCCGGGGAUAACAGGCUGAUACCGCCCAAGAGUUCAUAUCGACGGCGGUGUUUGGCACCUCGAUGUCGGCUCAUCACAUCCUGGGGCUGAAGUAGGUCCCAAGGGUAUGGCUGUUCGCCAUUUAAAGUGGUACGCGAGCUGGGUUUAGAACGUCGUGAGACAGUUCGGUCCCUAUCUGCCGUGGGCGCUGGAGAACUGAGGGGGGCUGCUCCUAGUACGAGAGGACCGGAGUGGACGCAUCACUGGUGUUCGGGUUGUCAUGCCAAUGGCACUGCCCGGUAGCUAA